CGACAUUCGAAGAUUUCCCCAGGCUCGGCUCGCGGUGCGUGUAAGCGCCGAGAAUUCGCCUCGAUUUUGCUCGUAACUUGAUCCUAGAUCCAGACACGGCGUUCAGUGAGAAGCCUUCAGCAACACCUACCUUGGGUCCUGGGUCCCCAGGAAAUCCAGGGGGUCCUGAAAAUCCACGUUCACCCUGUAGAGGAAAACAUAGUUCAGCCCCCCACUGAAUAAUAAAAGGCAUCAGCGUGACGUCCAUGUUAAAAGCCUCACUCGCAACUGGGUACUGGUAUGUUUCCUUCUGCUAUUCAUCACUGCAGAACACCCAAAACCUCUGAUCUCCCCUAAGGUCAUCUGUGGAGGUUUUGC